UAAAACACAUUUAAGAUUUAGAUUUACCCAUCCAUUUCUAUUUUCUGGUGCUUUCUUUUCCUUGCAUUUUUCUUCUAUCUGAAGAGUUUCGUAUUAGUAUUACUUUUGGUGCAGAUUUAAGAGCUUUUAUAUGAGAGAAUAUUGUGCCUUUUGAAGGAUAUUUUCAAUGGGUAUAGAACCCUAGGUUGGUAGGUUUUUGUUUCACUUUACUAUGUCAGUAGUGAAAAUUUAUCUUCUAGAUUCUAUCAUUUCUCUUGGAAAGUCCGUCAUUAACUAGUCUUGUUGCUCCUUAGAGGGGGAAAUGGUCUUUGUUCUCUGGCAACUUCUCUAAGAUUUUUCUCUUUAUCUUUCAACAGUUUUACAGUGCUCUUAAAACAGAAGAUGACCAUUGUGUUUGAGCUCUGUGAUGAAGGAGGAAGGCAGUAAACAUGAGAGCCUAUUUUUAUAAAGCCAAGCAUGAUCAGGCUGGAGAAAACACAUACUGCCAGAAGACUAUGAGAUUUCUCACCUAAGAG